rnacentral:rRNA from 1 species
AUUGAACGCUGGCGGCAGGCUUAACACAUGCAAGUCGAUCGAGAGGCGGACGCGUGAGUAAUGUAUGGGGACUGCCCGAUAGAGGGGGAUAACUACUGGAAACGGUAGCUAAUACAGCAUACUCUCGUAUAACCCAUAUGGGAGUAGCUAGUAGGUGAGGUAAUGGCUCACCUAGUCGACGAUCCCUAGCUGGUCGGAGAGGAUGAUCAGCCACACUGGGACUGAGACACGGCCCAGACUCCUACGGAGGCAGCAGUGGGGAAUAUUGCACAAUGGGCGCAAGCCUGAUGCAGCCAUGCCGCGUGUAUGAAGAAGGCCCUAGGGUUGUAAAGUACUUUCAGUCGUGAGGCGUUACCGACAGAAGAAGCACCGGCUAACUCCGUGCCAGCAGCCGCGGUAAUUC